rnacentral:rRNA from 1 species
AGUCAAGUAAUUAAGUGCAUGUGGUGGAUGCCUUGGCAGUCAGAGGCGAUGAAAGACGUGAUAGCCUGCGAAAAGCUCCGGGGAGGCGGCAAAUAUCCUUUGAUCCGGAGAUGUCUGAAUGGGGGAACCCACCUACUUUAAGGUAGGUAUUGCAACAUGAAUACAUAGUGUUGCAAGGCGAACGAGGGGAAGUGAAACAUCUCAGUACCCUUAGGAAAAGAAAUCAAUUGAGAUUCCCUCAGUAGCGGCGAGCGAACGGGGAUCAGCCCAUUAAGUUAUGUGUGUUUUAGUGGAACGCUCUGGGAAGUGCGAACGUAGAGGGUGAUAUUCCCGUACACGAAAGGGCACACAUAAUGAUGACGAGUAGGGCGAGGCACGUGAAACCUUGUCUGAAUAUGGGGGGACCAUCCUCCAAGGCUAAAUACUCCUGACUGACCGAUAGUGAACCAGUACCGUGAGGGAAAGGCGAAAAGAACCCCUGUGAGGGGAGUGAAAUAGAUCCUGAAACCGCAUGCAUACAAGCAGUGGGAGCACCUUCGUGGUGUGACUGCGUACCUUUUGUAUAAUGGGUCAGCGACUUAUAUUCAGUAGCAAGGUUAACCGUAUAGGGGAGCCGUAGAGAAAUCGAGUCUUAAUAGGGCGUUUAGUUGCUGGGUAUAGACCCGAAACCAGGCGAUCUAUCCAUGAGCAGGUUGAAGGUUGGGUAACACUAACUGGAGGACCGAACCCACUGUCGUUGAAAAGCCAGGGGAUGACUUGUGGAUAGGGGUGAAAGGCUAAUCAAGCCUGGUGAUAGCUGGUUCUCCCCGAAAGCUAUUUAGGUAGCGCCUCGGACGAAUACCAUAGGGGGUAGAGCACUGUUUCGGCUAGGGGGUCAUCCCGACUUACCAAACCGAUGCAAACUCCGAAUACCUAUGAGUACUAUCCGGGAGACAGACUGCGGGUGCUAA